rnacentral:tRNA from 1 species
CAGAAAGAAGUUUAAUUUGUAAAUAUCAGUUUUGGAGACUGAAGACUCUGCCUCUCGGCUUUCUGA